GCAAACUUGGUCAUUUAGAGGAAGUAAAAGUCGUAACAAGGUUUCCGUAGGUGAACCUGCGGAAGGAUCAUUACCAAUAUAGCGAACCGAGCUUUAGCGAGGCUUCGCGAUCAUUUGUAUUUAAAACCCAACUCUUUAAAUGUAUUAUACUAUUAUUAUAUUUUAAAUAAUAAAAGAUCACUUUCAACAACGGAUCUCUUGGCUCUCAGAGACAGGCAAACUUGGUCAUUUAGAGGAAGUAAAAGUCGUAACAAGGUUUCCGUAGGUGAACCUGCGGAAGGAUCAUUACCAAUAUAGCGAACCGAGCUUUAGCGAGGCUUCGCGAUCAUUUGUAUUUAAAACCCAACUCUUUAAAUGUAUUAUACUAUUAUUAUAUUUUAAAUAAUAAAAGAUCACUUUCAACAACGGAUCUCUUGGCUCUCGCAUCGAUGAAGAACGCAGC
rnacentral:misc_RNA from 1 species